AGUUAUUAUAAUUGGAUAAAUUUUAAACGUGUAUUUUAUAUUUGGUCAAAACCAUACAUUUAACGUUACGCUCAACAUGUAUUUAUACAACUGUUAUUGGAUAAGAUAUUUUAUGGAGACAGCCCUACAAGCUGAAACAUCAUUAUAUAUUAUAUUCGUGGUAUUAAACUAUAUCCGUCACGAUAUAUACGAGAAUCGUCGAAUGAUUUCCACCUUCCGUUUCACAUAAUCUAGUACUAAGCGACUGAAUAAGACGUUAGACGAUGAUGCAAAACGCUAUAGUGGUAUUAUGUUUUGAUGACAUAAUAAUAAUAUUAUUAUUGUACGUCUUUGCCAAGCGUUUGUCGACGUGAAUUCUUUCUUAGGACGUAAUACGCGUAAUGUACAUUGUAUAAUACAUUCCACGGACUUCGAACCGACAAACAAAUUAUUAUUACAUCGAUGUAAUAUUGGCGCUGGUCAAUAUGUCAACCUGCCGAUCAUCCGCGAAAUAAUAAAUGGGAUUCAACGGCGGCAUAAGCGCAUAAGCUAGCGGAAGUCUAAAAAUAUUUUUUCCGGCGUACGAAUUCCGAGUCUUAACAUGCCACAAAUAUCCUAUGAAUGCGGAUUACAGUAGACGUGCAGUGUCGAUGACGUAUACAGUGUCAUGCCGUUAUGUCCAAAGGCACUGAAUGAACCGUAAUAGGUAUAUAAUACACAUGGAUACACAGAUAAUGCAACAAAAGUGACGUUUGCGAUGGCUUGCAGUAAGAAAAUUUUUCCAGUAGAAUAUUGACCAACAAAUAACACCGUGAGUUUUUCAUCAAAAUCUUGACCAGUUAACGAAGGCAAAUGAAACUCGUGAACCAAAUAAUUGUUCAAAAGAAAUGUUUUCGAUGUUCAAAGAUAUUUUCAAACAAAUUAAGUCAAGCGCAGCAUACUUGAAUUGCACAUAUUAAAAACAUCUCUCGACUUGAGAAGAAAAAAUCUAAUAGAGAUUAUAAGAUAAAUAUCUGUAUAAAAAUAUAAAAUUAAUAACAUUCCUUAGAAACCUUACUACCGCAGGUGUGUACAAUCUCUGUCUAAAAUAGUUUGCAGUUUUGAAGGGUUAAAAUUUCAUAAGAAAAAUGUUCAUUCAAAACGGACCCUAGGAGGGACGAAUUUUUUCCGUGUCCACAAUUUUUUGGAGUGUCAUGAUUGUAACAAAAAAAUUUUGCCGAAAAAUACUUUAAGAUAUCAUAUAAAAAUUAAACACUUGUUGGACCGAGAUGAUUUUGAAUGUGCAGCUCAUUGUUCAAGGAAAUAUACGCGAAAGAAUGAUAUUUUAAUUAAACACAUAAGUAAACAUAUGAUUCUGAAAGAAAAUGCAAAUUCCACAGUUACAAAUUUUUAAUGUGUUACAAAUUAACAAUUGUUUAAUAAAGGAAUCCUUAUAAAUGAACACCACCAAAAGUACCACAACAUAGAUUUUGUAAUGAUCAUUUAAAAUUCACAAUCCUUUAGUGAAUUUCAAAAAUGGAAAAUUAAAGAAGAACAAAAGUGUUUAAUUCAGUGAAUGUAACCAAUCACGAUUCACGAACAGUGGCUUCAUGUUUUGAAUAUUAACCAUGUACAGCACGAUGAAUCUGAUCGUUUUGAACUGUAUAUUUUAUUCGUUGAGUUGUUACAUUAAACUUGUAAAGUACAAAAACUACCAUUCAUUCAAAAUUGUCAGCAAGGGAAACGUUGAAUUUGAUUGGAGAAUUUGAAAUUCACUCCUCAAAAGGUUUGGUUUAGAAGAGAUAUCCUAAAGUGAAAAUCGUAACGCGAAAUCUUUGAAAGAGUCUGCUAACCAGCUUAAAUGUAUUUACCUGGAAGGUACCGAAUGUAAUAUUGUUGUAUAUACGAUGUAGGUAUACACUAUACAGAAGUGUGUGUCUAUCUAUACCGAUG